UAUCUAUCUGCCUAACCAGCCUCUACCUGCCUCCUCUCUCAUUCCAGUGGUGACCCUAAUUGCCAUUAGAGGGAGAGGGUAGAUGACCGCUCAGGCUUCUUCAAGCUGUGAGAGGGCAUUGUUACUGUGGCAGUAAGGGAUCCUCCAGAGGAUGGUCUAAUGGGCCUGAGAGGAAGGGUUCUUUCACACAGGGUUCCAUCUGCAUCAUGAUCUGGAGUUUGAUGGCCUCUAUGCAAGAAGAAACAAAUUUGGCUAAAAGAUGUAACACACAUGGUCCAAAAACCAGACUUGAGAAUACGACACGGAGACAGAAGAAAAACAGAAUCAGAAGCAAAGCUGGAUAAUGAAUGGAAAUAGAAGUGGACAGAAGUGGAGAAAGAUGAGAUAGAUCACCAGAGAAAAGAGCAGAGGAUACAGACUUCUGAGAAAUUUUGUGAAGACUUGUCAAGUUUU
rnacentral:lncRNA from 1 species